GAAGAUUAUUCAUCAUUGCACAGCAUUGAAAUAUCAACCGUACCUGUAUCUGCUUCAAGUACAAUUUAUACCGAGGUUACAACAGAGGCUGCACCGAAAUCUACCAACAUCCCCAAUACGGACAACAUUUGUGCCGAGGAGAGGGGAAAUGUAAAUGAAAGCAAUUCUACAUCUUUAAUUGCUGGUUUUAUCAGUCUUCUGAUCCUUGUGGGAAUUUUGCUGACCCUGUAUGCAAUGUCGUAUUUUCAUAAAAGUCGCAUGUAUAUUUCAAGUAGAUACAGCGAGUAAAGCACACUUUGGAAUUAUGAAACUUACGGCCCCUGCGUGCAAUCAAUAUAUGACUGCAUGAACUAUUUUUUUUUUUUACAUGUAUCUAACAAAAGUAACAAUGCAAUACAAGACUCAAGUUU